rnacentral:rRNA from 1 species
CGGUUAAGUUAGAAAGGGCGCACGGUGGAUGCCUUGGCACUAGGAGCCGAUGAAGGACGGGACGAACACCGAUAUGCUUCGGGGAGCUGUAAGCAAGCUUUGAUCCGGAGAUUUCCGAAUGGGGAAACCCACCACUCGUAAUGGAGUGGUAUCCAUAUCUGAAUUCAUAGGAUAUGAGAAGGCAGACCCGGGGAACUGAAACAUCUAAGUACCCGGAGGAAGAGAAAGCAAAUGCGAUUCCCUGAGUAGCGGCGAGCGAAACGGGAUUAGCCCAAACCAAGAGGCUUGCCUCUUGGGGUUGUAGGACACUCUGUACGGAGUUACAAAAGAACGAGGUAGAUGAAGAGGUCUGGAAAGGCCCGCCAUAGGAGGUAACAGCCCUGUAGUCAAAACUUCGUUCUCUCCUGAGUGGAUCCUGAGUACGGCGGAACACGUGAAAUUCCGUCGGAAUCC